AUUCCAGCUCCAAUAGCGUAUAUUUAAGUUGUUGCAGUUAAAAAGCUCGUAGUUGGAUUUCGGUUAAGAGCGACCGGUCCGCCGUUUGGUGUGCACUGGUUGGUUUUAACUUCCUGUAGAGGACGUGCUCUGGGCUUAACGGUCUGGACUCGGAGUCUACGUGGUUACUUUGAAAAAAUUAGAGUGUUCAAAGCGGGCUUACGCUUGAAUAUUUCAGCAUGGAAUAACACUAUAGGACUCCUGUCCUAUUUCGUUGGUCUCGGGACCGAUGUAAUGAUUAAUAGGAACAGUUGGGGACAUUUAUAUUCCAUGGCUAGAGGUGAAAUUCUUGGAUUCAUGGAAGAUAAACUAUUGCGAAAGCAUUUGUCAAAGAUGUUUUCAUUA
rnacentral:rRNA from 1 species